GACGAACGCUGGCGGCGUGCUUAACACAUGCAAGUCGAACGGAAAGGCCCUGCUUUUGUGGGGUGCUCGAGUGGCGAACGGGUGAGUAACACGUGAGUAACCUGCCCUUGACUUUGGGAUAACUUCAGGAAACUGGGGCUAAUACCGGAUAGGAGCUCCUGCUGCAUGGUGGGGGUUGGAAAGUUUCGGCGGUUGGGGAUGGACUCGCGGCUUAUCAGCUUGUUGGUGGGGUAGUGGCUUACCAAGGCUUUGACGGGUAGCCGGCCUGAGAGGGUGACCGGCCACAUUGGGACUGGGAUACGGCCCAGACUCCUACGGGAGGCAGCAGUGGAGAAUAUUGCACAAUGGGAGGAAGCCUGAUGCAGCAACGCCACGUGCGGGAUGACGGCCUUCGGGUUGUAAUCCGCUUUCGCCUGUGACGAAGCGUGAGUGACGGUAAUGGGUAAAGAAGCACCGGCUAACUACGUG
rnacentral:rRNA from 1 species